rnacentral:rRNA from 1 species
AUGGACGCCGGCUCCUCAUCGUCGCCGCUCCGCAUUGUGAUCGUCCCGUGGCUCGCAUUCGGCCACCUCCUCCCGUACCUGGAACUCUCCGAGCGGCUCGCCGAGCGGGGCCACCGCGUGUCCUACGUGUCCACGCCGCGCAACGUCGCCCGCCUCCCGCUCCCGCUGCGCCCCGCGGCGGCGCCGCGCGUGGACCUCGUCGCGCUCCCGCUCCCACGCGUUGACGGCCUCCCCGACGGCGCCGAGUCCACCAACGACGUGCCCGACGACGACCGCGAACUCCACUGGAAGGCCUUCGACGGCCUCGCCGCGCCGUUCGCGGAGUUCCUGGCCACCGCGUGCGCCGACGAGACCACGCGGCCUCACUGGAUCAUCGCCGACUCUUUCCACCACUGGGCAGCCGCCGCUGCCCUAGAGCACCAGGUGCCAUGCGCGAUGCUUCUCCCGACCGCUGCGUUGAUCGCCACCUUGCCUGACCUGCCGGAGGAGCACCGUCGAGCACGUGGUCUUCCCCGUUACGAGCAGGAGAUGAUGGACCCGGCUUACAACAACUAUGGCAUAUCGGGUAUGUCCAUCAUCCGGCGCUUUAACUUGACAAAAGACAGGUGCACCGUCGCGGCCAUCCGGAGCUGCAUCGAGUGGGAACCCGAGUCCUUCCCACUGGCGGCGACGCUCCUCGGCAAGCCGGUCGUUCCCCUCGGCCUUCUCCCGCCGUCACCCAAGGGAGCUCGCCGUGCCGCUGCCAAAGGAGCAGAGCAUGCCACCGUGCGGUGGCUGGACGCGCAACCUUCCGACUCCGUUGUUUACGUCGCCCUAGGAAGCGAGGUGCCGCUGCGCGUGGAGCAGGUGCACGAACUGGCCUUCGGGCUGGAGCUCGCCGGGACGCGCUUCCUCUGGGCCCUGAGAAAGCCCAGCGGCGCCGCUGUACACGACGAGGACGGCGUGGACAUGCUUCCUCCGGAUUUCCAAGAGCGCACUCGCGGCCAGGGGCUGGUGACCAGGGGAUGGGUUCCUCAGGUGAGAAUCCUGGCGCACGCCGCCCGGCCGCCGUGGGCGGGUUCCUGA